AAAAGAAAAGCCGCCCGCCUCCGUCUCUCCCCCGCACUCCGUCGCCUCGCCUCGCCGCCGUUCCCGCAACCCCCUGUCUGUCGACCCAAUCUCAAUCUCACCCGACGGGACGGGACCCGGCGCCUCGUCCUCUCCAGAUCUUACGCCCGCCCGCCCGAGCUGGUAGCAGCAACUCUUCUGCUGCAGUCCGCCAAAAGGAAAUGACGAAGCUCUACAAAAUCCACUCCCAUGCCCACAUCCAAGCCCUGCAGGCCCGCGCCAAUGAGCUGGGCCACUCCAAUAAGUCCAUGCUUGUGAAUCUUGUCUCUCUGGAGUCGGUGCGCAUAGCGCGCGAGUCGUAUGCACUCCUCCGCCCGCUGAUCAAGGAGUCGUGGAUCUGGGCAUGCCCGGAGCUGGAAAUCCUCUUGGUUGUGGCAGGCUUGUCGCUGGAAAUCCAAAAGCUUGAGCAUGAUGUGUUACCCCAGCUCAUGGUUCAGGAGGCCAAGCUGGAACGGGGCGCCCUGGAAGCCCUCCUACUCAUGAAGAACUCAGCAAUUACGCUCUUAGAUCUGAGGAAGUGCUUUAUCUUAGCCUUGGGCGUAUUGCUUGCCGAUGAGGAUUUGGUCUCAGCCCGAGUCAAAAAGCUGAGCAUAAUGCUAAAGGAUACUGCUGAUGAUGUACUCAAUGGUAAUCGCGACAUUGUCUGGCUUCAGGAGCGUGCCCCGUUGCUGGUCCAGCUGGUCACCGAUGUGUUGGAGACCCCGGUUCGUUUCUGUGAUCCUGAUGAGUUUCUGUGAUGAGUAGACUUAUCAGCCAGCUCGAGGCUGUUGUGAUAAGUAUUUCUUAGGGGCGUGGCAAACAGUUUAGAAUCAACCCUUUAUGUUUGGAUGUGUUAUUAAUGGAUGGAUUUUAAAUGAUAUGUAUCUUGGGUGGUAAACCAGAUUCAUUGGUAAACCAGAUUCACCUCAUCAUAUUUUUCUCAUAUUGACAGUUUCUUUGUAAAGUGAAUUUGCUUGUCUUUUUUUCCAAUCACCCUCGCUGCCUGUUUUUGCUUGUGGGAUUCCCCUGUUAAGGUAUUUGUUUUCCAAAGCUAAUAUUUAUUUAUGCUUCCAAUUCCUAAGGUUAAUUCCUCUGUUCCCAGUUUUCAAAUGUGUGCAGCGUGAAACCAAUGUUGAUGACCUCAUGGAAAACACUAGGAGAUUAUAUUUAAACUUUUUUUUUGCAAAACUGCAUAUGCCUACUUUGAUGUUGAUAUCAGAAAAUUUCAAACUAUAUUGCAAUUUUUGUUUGCACAUCCCAUUGCCAAUGAUGCAUUUAUUCCUAUCUGUGUCCCACAGCUCUGAACCCCAUGCCGAUAGCUGUCCGUUUCAUUUAUUUUGGCAUAUCCAUGUGCAUCGUUGGUUACGACUCCAGCUCGCGCGCCCUCCGUGGAUCAGGCAUCAACGGUCGCAGUUCUGAGGACGCCACCUCCCCUGGUGCUCUGCAUCCAUCUUCCCCACUAAGGUGUGCGUGGUGAGCUGGGCACUAGUCAUGGAUGGGGAUGUUGCUAUCGCUAGGGGCCGCACCGUGGGUUCUCGUCUUUGGUAUAUUGACCACCAGCUCCGAUAGCUGCACGUUCCACAGGCUACAGCAGCUCGGCAUGAUGCUGUGCGGCGCUUAGCUUCCCCAUCACAGCCUCCCUCCCUGAGCAUCUCCAUCCUUUGCACUUGUCUCUUCGAGCACUUCAUACACCCCCCCCUAUCGCACACCUUGGAAUGGUGCUUCUGCCUUUUACAGCCCCUAAGACUGCAGAUUUUAGGAUGCCAAGAUGCAGACUAUGUACAGUCGAACAGAGAAACAAGAUAUGUGCCAUGUAUAGAGAAGAAUGUGCAAACCUAUGUUUUUCCUAGGGACUAGAUGUACAUGUUGUGCUUUUUUUUUUUUUAAACUGCGGAUGCAAAUUUGGUUUUUUUUAAAUGCAUUGUCUUUUUAUGAACAUAUACAUGCAGUACCUAAAAGCAUUUUUCUGAGAUA